UGGUGAGAUUCAUGGUAUGAAAGGUGGCAGUCAGCGGAGCAGCGGAGCUGUCUGCCCAUCAGACCUGAAGACUACAGUUCCUUCUGAAAUAAGCUCAUCUUCCUGUCAGAGGCAGCUGAUUUUCUACACCCAUCCUUGCUGUGAGCUGCAAUUUUCCUCAGCUCUGGAGUACGACAGAGUGACAGCUCAUCCUGAACAACUGAAGACACCCUGGCAGGCUACAGAAUUCUAAACCAAACGGGAAAAGAAAAGGAAAUAAAAUUCAACAGCAACAAAACUGCUAUCAAAGGAAAAGAGAAGUUCAUUGGCCCCAAACAUAUCUAGUCUGGUUAUUAGUUUGGACCACCAAAGGUCUACAUUCAGCUUUUCCCGAAUCACCGCACCAAAGGCCAGCUGAAUGCUUUCAAUGAAAUGUGUUAAACUGAGCCUUCGCGCUAUGUGGUAUAAAUGUCUUGCACAACUCCUUUGCAAGCACCUAAGAUGAAUUAAAUCCAUAGUGAAAAACAGAUCUCAUGGGUGUGCACCUGUACCUUUUCCUUUGAUGGAUCCCACGGCACCUUGCCUGGGAGUCUUCCUUGCCUACUGUGUGGAGAGGCACAAAUUCAGAAACUUGAGCCUCACACUUGGAUGGAUGUAGGAUGUUACCACUCCUCCCAGAUGCUGCUUAGCAAGGCUGGGUUUCUCUGGUCAUUGAGCCAGCUCUGUUCACAACCAGACACCAGCAAUGCUAUCAUUCACUAGAGAGAAGUUAGGACAGAAUGCUAAAAUCUGGGAUUAUAUUUUUGUUGCUGGUUGACUGGUUUUUUGUUUCUACAAUUAGGAAGAGUAAACUGAAUGUCCGAGUUUAAA